UUCUUACAACUUGGUAGAAAGAGGUUCCUGCAAUACUAUGUUUAUCCUUUUGUUUUUUUAAUCAUUCUUAGCAAGUACCUAUAUGUGUAUAAAGAAAGAGCUUCUUUGCAAAAUUAUAAAAAAAAAACAUGCCGAUGGCGGUUCGUUUAUGCACUAUUUAAUUUAAAAGUUGUUUGGUACUUAGGGAUUGAAACAAGUCAUUUGACUUGUUUACUAUUCGUAUAAGUUAUUCAUUAUAUACUGACAAUUUUUUAU
rnacentral:lncRNA from 1 species